UACGGGGAGCAGCAGGCGCGAAAACUCUACAAUGCACGAAAGUGUGAUAGGGGAACCCUAAGUGCUCAGCUCUGCUGGGCUUUUGCCAAGAGUAAAAACCUUGGCGAAUAAGUGGUGGGUAAGACGGGUGCCAGCAGCGCGGUAAAAUCUCUAGA
rnacentral:rRNA from 1 species